UACGUAGGGGGCAAGCGUUAUCCGGAUUUACUGGGUGUAAAGGGAGCGUAGACGGCAAUGCAAGUCUGGAGUGAAAUGCCAGGGCUUAACCCUGGAACUGCUCUGGAAACUGUAGAGCUAGAGUGCAGGAGAGGUAAGUGGAAUUCCUAGUGUAGCGGUGAAAUGCGUAGAUAUUAGGAGGAACACCGGUGGCGAAGGCGGCUUACUGGACUGUAACUGACGUUGAGGCUCGAAAGCGUGGGGAGCAAACAGG
rnacentral:rRNA from 1 species